CAUGUACAUUAAAAAUAUUUGUAUAAUACUUUUAUCAUUGUAGCUGUCCAGAGUUUCAGGCUUAAAGAACAUGAAGAAUGAAUAAAUAAAAAAUGAAUCAUUUCUCCACAGGGCCUAGCUAUUCCCAAAUGUUGGACUAAUGGAUUCAUUCAGGCAGCAAGUUAAUCCAUCAUUUAAGGAAACUGAAUUCAUUUUAUCCACAAGAACAUGAGGUGAUGGAAAUAAUUUGCACCUGCCCUGCAUUCCUAGUCUGUCA